UACAGAGGUCUCGAGCGUUAGGCGGAAUCACUGGGCUUAAAGCGUGUGUAGGCGGAUCGUUAAGUGCCUUGUGAAAUCCCACGGCUCAACCGUGGAACUGCUUGGCAUACUGGCGGUCGUUGAGGCAACCUAGGGGCGAGCGGAACAAAUGGUGGAGCGGUGAAAUGCGUAGAUAUCAUUUGGAACGCCAAUGGUGAAAACAGCUCGCUGGGG
rnacentral:rRNA from 1 species